rnacentral:rRNA from 1 species
UACGAAGGGGGCUAGCGUUGUUCGGAAUUCCUGGGCGUAAAGCGUGCGCAGGCGGCUUCUCAAGUCAGGUUUGAAAGCCCAGAGCUCAACUCUGGAAUUGCCUUUGAGACUGAGUGGCUUGAGUACGAGAGAGGUGAGUGGAAUUCCCAGUGUAGAGGUGAAAUUCGUAGAUAUUGGGAAGAACACCGGUGGCGAAGGCGGCUCACUGGCUCGUAACUGACGCUCAUGCACGACAGCGUGGGGAUCAAACAGG